rnacentral:rRNA from 1 species
CUAGAUAUACAAAACAUGACAGUCAAUUUUUUCGAGAGUUUGAUCCUGGCUCAGGAUGAACGCUGGCUGUGUGCCUAAUACAUGCAUGUCGAGCGGAGUUCUUCGGAACUUAGCGGCGAAUGGGUGAGUAACACGUACUUAACGUACCCUUUAGUUUGGGAUA